CGGCGUUCGCGCGACUGGCGAGAUGAGGUGGCGUAGCAUCGGGGAAAGCGAAUCGGAUACGCCGUUCGCCUAGGCACCCUCU
rnacentral:ncRNA from 20 species